CGAAACAGGGGAUGUGUUGCUCUUUAUUAUUUUUUUGGGCCACGAAAUAUAACUUGGUUGCCUAUUACAAUAGUAGGGAGACAAAUAACUUAAUUCGUUGUAUAUUUUUAUUAAAAAAAAAGUUGAGUGGUAUUUUAUUUGGUUUCCCAAAUCCCACUAAAAAUUUGGCGGAAUAAAUACCGCUUUCAUUGAAAUUCCCCCAAAAAAACUCAUAAGACUAUUGAUGCAAAAAUUUCAGUACUGCUUCCCCUAAAAAAAUUAAAUAAAUAAAUAAAAAGUAAAAAAUAAAAAUUAGUAUUGCUAAAAGAACUAACCCUUUACCCACGAUCAAACAAUUUUCCCUUCUCAUUCGUUAUAAAAAAAUCCCCAAUUUCUCUUCUCUUUGCUUUGAUUAAACCGAAAGCGCUAUUGAAGAGCGGUGACGAGCGGUUUGGAUUCAAGGCAAUUGACGGUGGUGAGGCAGCGGUGACAGCGAAUUUAAGGUUGACGCAUUGACAGCGAUGAGGUAGCAGCAAAAUGUCAAUCAUACCAACAUCAUCGGAGAAAAAUCAACAAGAAAAUGAGAUUCAACAACCACCACAAAGGUUAACUUAUCAUAAGCAGUGAAGGAUUGACCAAGCUGAGCUUUGGAAAAAAUGUCCUGAUCAUAAGAGGCGUGUUCCUACAAGGGGCUUAAAAUAUGCUUAUAAAAGGGAAAAAAAUCUAGACAAAAAAAAUUACAAUAACCUUCAUGGAUGAGCUUCGACAUGUGGUUGGUGAAAAGGCAAAUGAGUUCAUAUGCGAUUGUAGCAAUUGGGUCGAAGAGUUUUGUCCUUUAGAUGCAUUGUAUGUCUAAGCUUGCCAAAAUUAAUUUCACUUAUCUAACAAACAUGUCUUAAAUAGCACAUCUAUGUGAUUUAUGAUUUUUUUUCAAAAAAAAAAAUUGGUAGAAAUUGGGCUAAAAUUGAUUCUUCUGCAAAGAAAAGUUUGUAUGACAAGAUUUUGGGAAAAUACAAUUUACCUGAAAAGGUUGGUGGUGCGUACGUCAUUGAUGCAUUGAGCUUUCAAUGCUCUAUCCUAUAUAGGCAUUGGAGGUUAAGACUAAAGAAAAAAAUACUAUAGAGGUAAAACUAAGGCAGAGGCUAGAGACAAUAGACCUCCAACUAUUGAUCCGACAUAAUGGGAUUGUUUUUUUACAAGAAUUGGAGUUCCCCAAAACAAGAGCUUAAUGAGCCACCAAAUUUCUCCACUCAAGAUGAAGAGCCAUCCGAACAUGCAGAAGUACAACAACAAGAUCCCAUCUACGUGAGAUUAUAUGAGAAGACCAAAAAGAAUGUUUAUUCAAUUAUUUUUUAACAAAGAGCAAUGAAUAUUUUUUUUAAGGAGGGACUCUCCGCGAUUUCUUUUGGACUGCAUUUAACACAGUCAGAGCAUCAGAUUUUGUUAUGCAUCAAAGUGUUGCAUAAAAAAAAUGCUUCCAUAAUUGAUGUUGCAUAUUGGUGGGAUUGGCUAGCUAGGCCUUUAAGAUUUGAUGAAAAUUAGUCUGAUGGUUAUAUAAAAUUGGGUUCCACUACUUAGAAUCAUGAGACAGUAGUACAAAACUAGACAUUAAGAUGACUGCAAAAGAAUUGUUUUAAUAGCUAGUGUUCCACACUGAUUUUCCCCCGCUUGGCAACAAGUCUUAUAUUUUUGUACAAAUGAUGACGUUAUUUCACUAUGCAUUUAUGUUUCAUGGA